UUUUUUGAGAAUUUGAUCUUGGUUCAGAUUGAAUGCUGACGGCGUGGAUGAGGCAUGCAAGUCGAACGAAGUCGCAAGACUUAGUGGCGGAAGGGUUAGUAAUACAUGGGCAACUUGCCUCUAACUUGGGAAUAACGGUUGGAAACGACCGCUAAUACCGAAUGUGGUGGAACAGGGCAUCCUGUUCUUAUUAAAGUGGGGGAUCGUAAGACCUCGCGGUUAGAGAGAGGCCCAUGGGAUAUCAGCUAGUUGGAGUGGUAACGGCACACCAAGGCUAAGACGUCUAGGCGGAUUGAGAGAUUGACCGCCAACAUUGGGACUGAGAUACUGCCCAGACUUCUACGGAAGGCUGCAGUCGAGAAUCUUUCGCAAUGGGCGAAAGCCUGACGAAGCGACGCCGUGUGAGCGAUGAAGGCCUUAGGGUUGUAAAGCUCUUUCGCCUGGGAACAAGAGAGACCAUCUAAUAAGUGGUUAAUUUGAGGGUACCAGGAAAAGAAGCACCGGCUAACUCCGUGCCAGCAGCUGCGGUAAUACGGAGGGUGCAAGCAUUAAUCGGAUUUAUUGGGCGUAAAGGGCGCGUAGGCGGAAAUGAAAGUCAGAUGUGAAAUCCCGGGGCUCAACCCCGGAACGGCAUUUGAAACUCCAUUUCUAGAGGGUAGGCGGAGAAAACGGAAUUCCACAAGUAGCGGUGAAAUGCGUAGAUAUGUGGAAGAACACCGGUGGCGAAGGCGGUUUUCUAGCUUACUCCUGACGCUGAGGCGCGAAAGCAAGGGGAGCAAACAGGAUUAGAUACCCUGGUAGUCCUUGCCGUAAACGAUGUAUACUUGGUGUAUCCGGACUCAACCCUGGAUGUGCCGAAGCUAACGCGAUAAGUAUACCGCCUGGGGAGUACAGUCGCAAGGCUGAAACUCAAAAGAAUUGACGGGGACCCGCACAAGCAGUGGAGCAUGUGGUUUAAUUCGAUGCAACGCGAAGAACCUUACCCAGACUUGACAUACAGUAGACAGUGCUAGAAAUAGCAUCUUCCUUCGGGACUGCUGAACAGGUGCUGCAUGGCUGUCGUCAGCUCGUGCCGUGAGGUGUUUGGUUAAGUCCAGCAACGAGCGCAACCCUUAUCAUUAGUUGCCAACAUUUAAGGUGGGAACUCUAAUGAGACUGCCUGGGUUAACCAGGAGGAAGGUGAGGAUGACGUCAAGUCCGCAUGGCCCUUAUGUCUGGGGCUA
rnacentral:rRNA from 1 species